rnacentral:rRNA from 1 species
AGUCUUCAGAUUAGCCAUGCAUGUCUUAGUAUAAGCUUCAUUUUGUGAAACUGCAAAUGGCUCAUUAUAACAGUCACAAUGCAUUUGGCGAACAAUUCUAAAUGGAUAUCUGUGGGAAUUACAUAGUUAAUACAUGCACUAAAACUUAUAUUUGGGGACAGGUUGUGGUCGUUAAUUACAUAACUAAUUCCAGCUAUGCUUGUACACUUGUAUGAUUCACAAUGACAAAUGAAAUGCAUGGCAACAGCUGGUGAUAAUUCAUUCCGGUUUCUGACCUAUCAGCUUUCGACGGUAAGGUAUUGGCUUACCGUGGCAAUGACAGGUGACGGAGGAUUAGGGUUUGAUUCCGGAGAGGGAGCUUGAGAAAUGGCUACCACAUCUAAGGAAGGCAGCAGGCGCGCAAAUUACCCAAUCCUGGCACAGGGAGGUAAUGGCAAGAAAUAACAAUACAAGGCAUCCAUGUCUUGUACUUGGAAUGAAUGGAUUUUAAACCUUUCUAU